rnacentral:rRNA from 1 species
UUCUGGCUCAGGACGAACGCUGGCGGCGUGCUUAACACAUGCAAGUCGAACGGAAAGGCCCUGCUUUUGUGGGGUGCUCGAGUGGCGAACGGGUGAGUAACACGUGAGUAACCUGCCCUUGACUUUGGGAUAACUUCAGGAAACUGGGGCUAAUACCGGAUAGGAGCUCCUGCUGCAUGGUGGGGGUUGGAAAGUUUCGGCGGUUGGGGAUGGACUCGCGGCUUAUCAGCUUGUUGGUGGGGUAGUGGCUUACCAAGGCUUUGACGGGUAGCCGGCCUGAGAGGGUGACCGGCCACAUUGGGACUGAGAUACGGCCCAGACUCCUACGGGAGGCAGCAGUGGGGAAUAUUGCACAAUGGGCGGAAGCCUGAUGCAGCAACGCCGCGUGCGGGAUGACGGCCUUCGGGUUGUAAACCGCUUUCGCCUGUGACGAAGCGUGAGUGACGGUAAUGGGUAAAGAAGCACCGGCUAACUACGUGCCAGCAGCCGCGGUGAUACGUAGGGUGCGAGCGUUGUCCGGAUUUAUUGGGCGUAAAGGGCUCGUAGGUGGUUGAUCGCGUCGGAAGUGUAAUCUUGGGGCUUAACCCUGAGCGUGCUUUCGAUACGGGUUGACUUGAGGAAGGUAGGGGAGAAUGGAAUUCCUGGUGGAGCGGUGGAAUGCGCAGAUAUCAGGAGGAACACCAGUGGCGAAGGCGGUUCUCUGGGCCUUUCCUGACGCUGAGGAGCGAAAGCGUGGGGAGCGAACAGGCUUAGAUACCCUGGUAGUCCACGCUGUAAACGGUGGGUACUAGGUGUGGGGUCCAUUCCACGGGUUCUGUGCCGUAGCUAACGCUUUAAGUACCCCGCCUGGGGAGUACGGCCGCAAGGCUAAAACUCAAAGGAAUUGACGGGGCCCCGCACAAGCGGCGGAGCAUGCGGAUUAAUUCGAUGCAACGCGUAGAACCUUACCUGGGUUUGACAUGGAUCGGGAGUGCUCAGAGAUGGGUGUGCCUCUUUUGGGGUCGGUUCACAGGUGGUGCAUGGCUGUCGUCAGCUCGUGUCGUGAGAUGUUGGGUUAAGUCCCGCAACGAGCGCAACCCUUGUUCACUGUUGCCAGCACGUUAUGGUGGGGACUCAGUGGAGACCGCCGGGGUCAACUCGGAGGAAGGUGGGGAUGACGUCAAGUCAUCAUGCCCCUUAUGUCCAGGGCUUCACGCAUGCUACAAUGGCUGGUACAGAGAGUGGCGAGCCUGUGAGGGUGAGCGAAUCUCGGAAAGCCGGUCUCAGUUCGGAUUGGGGUCUGCAACUCGACCUCAUGAAGUCGGAGUCGCUAGUAAUCGCAGAUCAGCAACGCUGCGGUGAAUACGUUCCCGGGGCUUGUACACACCGCCCGUCAAGUCAUGAAAGUUGGUAACACCCGAAGCCGGUGGCCUAACCGUUGUGGGGGAGCCGUCGAAGGUGGGACUGGUGAUUAGGACUAAGUCGUAACAAGGU